rnacentral:rRNA from 1 species
AUUGAACGCUGGCGGCAUGCUUUACACAUGCAAGUCGAGCGGCAGCGCGGGGGCAACCCUGGCGGCGAGCGGCGAACGGGUGAGGAAUACAUCGGAACGUGCCCCGGAGUGGGGGAUAACGCCGCGAAAGCGGCGCUAAUACCGCAUAUGCUCUGAGGAGGAAAGCGGGGGACCUGUGAGGGCCUCGCGCUCUGGGAGCGGCCGAUGUCCGAUUAGCUAGUUGGUGGGGUGAAGGCCCACCAAGGCGACGAUCGGUAGCUGGUCUGAGAGGAUGAUCAGCCACACUGGGACUGAGACACGGCCCAGACUCCUACGGGAGGCAGCAGUGGGGAAUUUUGGACAAUGGGGGCAACCCUGAUCCAGCCAUGCCGCGUGCGGAAGAAGGCCUUCGGGUUGUAAACCGCUUUUAGCCGGGAAGAAAAGGCGAGGGAUAACACCCUUCGUUCUUGACGGUACCGGCGGAAUAAGCACCGGCUAACUACGUGCCAGCCGCCGCCGUAACAC